rnacentral:rRNA from 1 species
GACGGAGGAUGCAAGCGUUAUCCGGAAUGAUUGGGCGUAAAGCGUCUGCAGGUGGCAGUUCAAGUCUGCUGUCAAAGACCGGGGCUUAACUUCGGAAAGGCAGUGGAAACUGAACAGCUAGAGUAUGGUAGGGGCAGAGGGAAUUCCUGGUGUAGCGGUGAAAUGCGUAGAGAUCAGGAAGAACAUCGGUGGCGAAGGCGCUCUGCUGGACCAUAACUGACACUCAGGGACGAAAGCUAGGGGAGCGAAUGGG